rnacentral:rRNA from 1 species
AUUGAACGCUGGCGGCAUGCCUUACACAUGCAAGUCGAACGGUAACGCGGGGCAACCUGGCGACGAGUGGCGAACGGGUGAGUAAUGCAUCGGAACGUACCCAGUUGUGGGGGAUAGCUCGGCGAAAGCCGGAUUAAUACCGCAUACGACCUACGGGUGAAAGCGGGGGAUCGCAAGACCUCGCGCAGUUGGAGCGGCCGAUGUCAGAUUAGGUUGUUGGUGGGGUAAAGGCUCACCAAGCCGACGAUCUGUAGCUGGUCUGAGAGGACGACCAGCCACACUGGGACUGAGACACGGCCAGGACUCCGACGGGAGGCAGCAGUGGGGAAUUUUGGACAAUGGGGGCAACCCUGAUCCAGCCAUGCCGCGUGCGGGAAGAAGGCCUUCGGGUUGUAAACCGCUUUUGUCGGGGAAGAAGUCUUCCGGGCUAAUACCCCGGGAGGAUGACGGUACCCGAAGAAUAAGCACCGGCUAACUACGUGCCAGCCGCCGCCGUAA